rnacentral:rRNA from 1 species
UUACCUCAGUAACGGCGAGUGAAGCGGUAACAGCUCAAAUUUGAAAGCUCGCCCUUUUAGGGUGCGCAUUGUAAUUUGUAGAAGAUGCUUCGGGUGUGGCCCCGGUCUAAGUUCCUUGGAACAGGACGUCAUAGAGGGUGAGAAUCCCGUAUGUGACUGGGUGCUUUCGCUCAUGUGAAGCUCUUUCGACGAGUCGAGUUGUUUGGGAAUGCAGCUCAAAAUGGGUGGUAAAUUUCAUCUAAAGCUAAAUAUUGGCCAGAGACCGAUAGCGCACAAGUAGAGUGAUCGAAAGAUGAAAAGCACUUUGGAAAGAGAGUUAAACAGUACGUGAAAUUGUUGAAAGGGAAGCGCUUGCAACCAGACUUGCGCGCUGAUGAUCAUCCGGGCUUCUGCCCGGUGCACUCGUCUGCGCUCAGGCCAGCAUCGGUUUCGGUGGUGGGAUAAAGGCCUUGGGAAUGUAGCUCCUCUCGGGGAGUGUUAUAGCCCUCGGUGCAAUGCCGCCUACCGGGACCGAGGACCGCGCUUCGGCUAGGAUGCUGGCGUAAUGGUUGUAAGCGACCCGUCUUGAAACACGGACCAAGGAGUCUAACAUCUAUGCGAGUGUUUGGGUGUCAAACCCAUACGCGUAAUGAAAGUGAACAGAGGUGAGAACCCUUAAGGGUGCAUCAUCGACCGGUCCUGAUGUCUUCGGAUGGAUCUGAGUAAGAGCAUAGCUGUUGGGACCCGAAAGAUGGUGAACUAUGCGUGAAUAGGGUGAAGCCAGAGGAAACUCUGGUGGAGGCUCGCAGCGGUUCUGACGUGCAAAUCGAUCGUCAAAUUUGCGUAUAGGGGCGAAAGACUAAUCGAACCAUUGACCUCGUCGCUACUAGGUGGUUAAGAGGUAUCUAGAGAAAUACUUAGUCCUACUAAGGGCAACACUGUCAAAUUGCGGGGACGUCCUGUUUUAAAUGCUGAACUACCGCAGCUGCCCUGAAAAGGGCGGUGCGCACCAGGUUAAUGACCUCGGGGAUGGUAAGAACGUUCAGAUAGGGAUGAUCCGCAGCCAAGUCCUACGGGGUCGCAAGACCUACGGAUGCAGUUCACAGACUAAACGAUAGUGGGUCAGGAUCUCCUGGCUUAAGAUAUAGUCGAAUCCCCUGAGAGAUCGGGGGCGGAGCUAUUCGACUCGCGCGCUUCGGUGCUGAGUCGUCUACC